rnacentral:misc_RNA from 1 species
GAUGAAGAACGUAGCGAAAUGCGAUACUUGGUGUGAAUUGCAGAAUCCCGUGAACCAUCGAGUCUUUGAACGCAAGUUGCGCCCGAAGCCAUUAGGCCGAGGGCAUGCCUGCCUGGGCGUCACACGUCGUUGCCCCCCCAUCUACUCCUUCGGGAUUGCGGGGGGCGGAUGAUGGCCUCCCGUGCGCCUAGUCGCGCGGUUCGCAUAAAAGCCAAGUCCUCGGCGACGCACGCCACGACAAUCGGUGGUUGCGAAACCUCGGUUGCCCGUCGUGUGCGGUCGUCGCGCAUCGAGGGCUCGAAAAAAUUGCCGGGCUCCGGCUCGGCUUUCAACGCGACCCCAGGUCAGGCGGGGUUACCCGCUGAAUUUAAGCAUAUCAAUAAGCGGAGGA